GGCGACAUGGCCAAGUUGGUAAGGCAAUGGUUUGCAAAACCAUGUAUCCCCGGUUCGAGUCCGGGUGUCGCCUCCA
rnacentral:tRNA from 1 species